CGAGCGGGUAACACGGCCUGGAGCGCCCGAACCGCUGCGAUCGGCCAGCCCCAGACCCCCUCUGGCUGGGAGAGUCCGAACUAUGUGCUUUGGUCCUUAAGAGAUGGACCACACAGUUAAUUUGGGAGAUCUAAAGAACAAAGCAUCCUGCCACAUGCUGGGAAUACCUGAGCCUGUGAAGGCAAUUCCUCACCCUCAUCACUAUGUCUGCUGGCUUUUGUCACUGUGGGUCUGCCAAAGCUGGAUGAGGAGAAGAAGUUGAAGAAGACCUCAGUCCCUUAUUUAUACUCCUGGGCUAUAUACGUUUCCAUAUUUUUUCCAAAUGCCAGUUAAGCACUGUGAAGUAUGAAAUGAAACCAGCAACGUAGAAGUAUAUUUUUUGUGUAUUUAUACAUUUUGCAAAAAAUAUUCUUCUACUUUCUUCUUCUAUUGCCUGUAAGGCUUUUCAGCAGCGUGUCAUUAUCCCAAACUGCACA
rnacentral:lncRNA from 12 species